GUGCUCACUUCGGCAGCACAUAUACUAAAAUUGGAAUGAUACAGAGAAUAUUAGCAUGGCCCCUGCACGAGGAUGACAUGCAAAUUCGUGAAGCAUUCCAUAGUUUU
rnacentral:snRNA from 1 species